rnacentral:rRNA from 1 species
AGAGUACAAGUCCGUUGGUGAACCAGCGGAGGCAUCAUUA